AGAGAGAAAGCUGAGUGCCUCUGGGCAGAGGCCGAAGACCAGGAAGAGAUGUGCCUGCAAACACAGCUGGAAAGAGGCUGUCCUGAUGGAAGAACUGUAUCCUAAGUGUUCCUGAAUCUGAAUUGCAACUUGUUACUCCCCUAAUAAACCCCAUAAAUAAAAGCAACAGAGCUUUCUCUUUGGAAGAUACAUCCGCAGGCAGCCUUGAAUCCAAUCCAAGAGCAAUUUCCCGAAGAGCCAGGCCGCCAUUUAGUCUCUGCUCAGUCCAGAGGGUCAGCGCAAAAGAGACACUCAGUUCCACAGAAGUUGUAUAGAAAUGGUGAUAGUGAGCAUCUUGCCUUGUUCCUGAUUUUAAAG